CUCGCGAGGUAAAAAUCUUUUUUGUGCGGAAAAGCCCACUCUGUGCUUUAUCAUUUAAAGAUUUUAAGUGAUACAUAUCCACGAUUAAGUAUGGAGAAACAUCAAUAAAAAAAAUUGAUAACACAUAAUCGGAUUACUGAAAUCUUAAAACAUCUACCCACUAUAAACAAUUACAACUUGGCGAUACUUUAUCACUGUUUUAAUACAAAUACGUAACAAUAACUCAAUCACAACACAGAUUGACUCUUUCCUACAAACAUGCUAUAUAUUUUACACUUCCAUUUACAAUGGAGUAUUGGGGUUUUCCGGUUGUACUGAUAUGUGUAAUUUUUGCAAUCGUUACAAUAGCUAAAAUCUGUCGUAAAGUGGGGCCGAAAACCGAACAUAGUGAUGAAAGAAUUCAGAACCUCCCAUCUAACAUAUAUGUUAUUGAAGAAGACUUUCUCAUCAUUGAACGCAGAAACAGUCUUCCAUUUACAAAUCCUCCCCCUUACUCAGUUGCUUGUGAACCACCACCACCAUAUGAUCCUCCACCAGAAUACACACAAAUCAGCAUAAAGAACGAUGAAUCUCUACAAAAUCACUGAUCAUUGACGUAUCAAACAUAUCAAUCACGUUUGAUUGUUUACAAAAAAGUUAAGAGGGUGCAUAAGUUAACAGUUUUAUUGUUGGCUUCUGUUUCUAUGUUGUAUUUAUUAGUUUCUCAUUAAAUGCUUUCGUUAAUGAACCAUGUUUAUUUUUUCUAGAAACUGAAAUGUUGUAAGGCAGCAAUUAACGGACAUGAGACGUCAAUUAAUGACUUUUCACUUCAAGUACUCAGCAGUACCCCCUCGCUAAGUAAUUACUUAAGCGUUUCGAACGAACAACCUUGAGUUUGGAUGUGUUUAACCCGUCACACGUGACCACAAAAUUCACCUGCGGCUUGCGCAGUGAAGUGUGAAGUUGGCGUAGGAAAAUUUGAUUUAAAAUUAAUCUGUGUGUGUUUGUAGUGCACAAUUCGGUUAUUUUCUGCGUAGUUGUGUUUAUUAAUACUUCUUUUACGAAGUACAAUGUAGUGUUGUAACGUCAGCAUAGAUAUUAUUUCCAUCUGUAGUAGGUGGACUAGAUUUUCAAAUCGCAUGAUUCAUCAAAAUGUAACGAAAUAAUGGAAUUUGAUACGAUAAUAUUGUCAGCCCUGAUACCUGCCAUUGUAGUAUUAUUAACGAUGUGUCUGCUAGCUUGUUUAAAAUGUGGAAGACGAAAACAUCCUUCCGUACGAAGAAGCGUUCCACCAGCCCCCAUUUACACAGUUCACACAAAUUAUAACGCCGUUAAUACUGCUCCUGGAAAUCCGGCGCCAUCUGCUUCCCAAACCAGAAAUUUUGGACAUCACAGAAUUUCCAGCCAAGGUGAUCGAUUUGCGGUCCCUCUAGAUUUAUUACCACCGAAUUUUAACUUUAAUGCUCCAGGAGUCGAACACAAAGGUGACUACGUUCUGGUUAAAGAUCUGAAGUUAAUACAAACUCCUUCGAACGACGAAUAUCAAAAGCAAUCACCGUACAAUCCUAGUUUUGCAUAACUGGUUUUUUAAAAUUUAUUUCUGUUUUAAACUAAGAAAAUUAUAAACGUGAGAUUGUAAUAGAUAUUAAGCGAUAAAUCUGAAUAAUGAAUGGUAAGUGUUUUAAAAGGCUGUUCAUGCUUUAAAUAAUUGUACUAAAUUAUAUAAAUUAAUCUAGUAAUAAAAUCUCUGCACAUGUA